rnacentral:rRNA from 1 species
UACGUAGGGACCAAGCGUUGUCCGGAAUCAUUGGCGUAAAGCGCGCGUAGGUGGCCAUUUAAGUCCGCUGUGAAAGUCAGAGGCUCAACCUUUGAAAGCCGGUGGAUACUGGAUGGCUAGAGUACGGAAGAGGCGAGUGGAAUUCCUGGUGUACGCGGUGGAAUGCGCAGAUAUCAGGAAGAACACCGGUGGCGAAGGCGGCCCGCUGGGCGAACUGCUGACACUGAGGCGCGACAGCGUGGGGAGCAAACAGG